UAGGCGGUGCUGAGGUUUGGAGGUGCGGCUUGAGCUCGCUCAGUGGCGCGCUGCCUAGUUCUCAGAGUCAGAGAAAAGACGUUUGCUCUGUUUAGCUUUUAGGGGCAACUCUCAGAGUUACCGUUAUUUAAAAAAAAAAGAAAAAGAAAAAAAAAUCUGCCCUUGAAGGAGAACGCUGGGUCUGUCUUCCGGGACACUUGGCAUCAAUAACGGAUAACUAAUCCUGGAGACUGAGGAAACAAAUAAUCAGCUCAAAAUGCUUACAGCCUUUCAAAGAUUUUCCAGGAUGCGGGUUUGGGAGAGAAAACCUAAGCACAGCCCAGCGAAUUGCCUGCGUUGACCGGUUGGAGCCGAAAGUUUGUGGGAGACCAAGGCAGGGGGAAGACACAAAGUGGGUGCUUACUCCUGAUCAUGGUGAAUGGUGGCUGUUUUGUCUGCAGUUUUACCACUUCUCUAGUGCUGCCACAAUCUGCUGAAUUCUCUUUUGUUCUCUGCAGCCCCCCAACACUCAAGAUUUUAAACUCAUGAAGAUGAAGAAGGACGAGGAGGAGGAAAAAGAGAAACUAUUACAGAUUGGUCUUACAUCAUGGAUCCUGAUUCCAGAAGUAUCAGGAGCUCUUUCAAGACAUUAGAUGAUCCAUCACCACUGCCUUCAUCCAAACAGACUAUUUAAGGCUUUGACUGCCAUCUGUCAGUCAGAUGCAGAUCCAGUUCUCUGGGCAGCCCCGUUUGGUGUUGGACUCAUCUCUGCGGGCUGGCUCUUCCUUUCUGACACACUCUGCUGCAGCCGCUCUGGCAACAUCUCUUUCCCUGGAGACAGGAAUCCUUCCAAGGUUUAAGAUUAAGAAACUGAGGCUAUAACCAGGCAACAGAUCAAGAUCCUGCCACUGGUUACUGGUGGAUCUAGAAGUCAAUCUCACAUGAAAUAUGGAUAAAGGGAGAGACCCAGAGGAAACUUUUUGAGCGAUGCUGGCCCCCACAAGACAAAGUAAUGAAGACCAAAGAGGGUGAAGCUAACCAGGAGCUACUGAUCAGUGAAAUUGGUUGCAACUGGGUGGAAGAGCUGCCCUGCUGGGAACUCCAACAAAUGGCAACAUCACUCAAAGAAUGCAAGAUCCUGCUGUGAAACAAUACAAAGUGGCCUGCACUUGAAUGCCUGGCUCAGGUGAGAAGUCAUUUUAGGAGACUUGUGAAACUUCUGAAUUAUACUGGGUCCAUCCAUGGCUUUGCAGUUUAACAAGACUCAAGUUUGGAAGGUGUGUGGUCUGAACUGGCCUUUGCCAAAAUGUUCCAUGAAAAUCCACUUUAUAAAAAGCAACCAUCCCAUUUUUUUUUUAGUUCUCCUUUGACAAUUUCCCAAU